UACGUAGGGGGCAAGCGUUGUCCGGAUUUAUUGGGCGUAAAGAGCGUGUAGGCGGCUUCACAGGUCCGCUGUGAAACUCGAGGCUCAACCUCGAGCUGUCGGUGGAAACCGUGUGGCUAGAGUCCGGAAGAGGAGAGUGGAAUUCCCGGUGUAGCGGUGAAAUGCGCAGAUAUCGGGAAGAACACCCGUGGCGAAGGCGGCUCUCUGGGACGGUACUGACGCUGAGACGCGAAAGCGUGGGGAGCGAACAGG
rnacentral:rRNA from 1 species